rnacentral:rRNA from 1 species
GAUGAACGCUGGCGGCGUGCCUAAUACAUGCAAGUCGAGCGAACAGACGAGGAGCUUGCUCCUCUGACGUUAGCGGCGGACGGGUGAGUAACACGUGGAUAACCUACCUAUAAGACUGGGAUAACUUCGGGAAACCGGAGCUAAUACCGGAUAAUAUAUUGAACCGCAUGGUUCAAUAGUGAAAGACGGUUUUGCUGUCACUUAUAGAUGGAUCCGCGCCGCAUUAGCUAGUUGGUAAGGUAACGGCUUACCAAGGCGACGAUGCGUAGCCGACCUGAGAGGGUGAUCGGCCACACUGGAACUGAGACACGGUCCAGACUCCUACGGGAGGCAGCAGUAGGGAAUCUUCCGCAAUGGGCGAAAGCUUGCCGGAGCAACGCCGCGUGAGUGAUGAAGGUCUUCGGAUCGUAAAACUCUGUUAUUAGGGAAGAACAAAUGUGUAAGUAACUAUGCACGUCUUGACGGUACCUAAUCAGAAAGCCACGGCUAACUACGUG